UUCCCAGUGUGAGGGUCUACAUCCCAGCUGGGCCAUGGGAGAUUCCUACAGGACCAAGGCAAAAAGGGCCUUGCAGCUCGUGGUGGAGGCAGAAGGAAACUACGAGUUAUAAAGAUCAAAACUCCAUGCAAAGCUACAGCUGCAUCAUACAAGCAGGCAAAAAGGAAGCAUCCUGGGUAGCAUAUGGGCUGUGAAGAAAACAAAACGUGUGAAUUUGAAGGAUGCAGAGGACACAAUCCCAGCCCACAGUGAGCAGAGUCCUGCAGACAAGAACAAUGAACGGAAGAUCCACUACUUCUUUGGGUCAUGGAGGACUCCAGGAGAGGAUAAAUCACACUUCUUUAUAAGAUGAGCUG